GAAGAACUCAGCACUUGGCGCACAAAAGAGAUUCAAGAAAUAUUGGUUGGAAGAAUCAAACAAGAAAAUCUAGAACCCUGCUGCAUUCCUCCACAGGGCAGGACGGAAGAAGGUCAGCUUUGCUCUUCUCCUGGGUUCUGGAACCAGACCUUCCUAACCUGUGCUGCUUACCUGGAGCCUCAGACCACUGUCACCCCUGCCCUCAUCUCCAGACUCUUCUUCCAGCAAGUCUAGAAGGGAGCAACUGUUUCACUGUCAUCAGUUUUCUCUGCCUCCUGCCCACAUCUUUGAAAACACUGCUUUUGAAGGCCUCCUUGAAUGAUCCUGCCUCCUGCUGAGGGUGUGACUGCCAGCCGUCUCCAGAACACGUUCUCCAUCAGUCCCCAGAGGGGAGCAUCCCCUCCAUCCUCAUCAGAGAGGUGGC
rnacentral:lncRNA from 13 species